rnacentral:rRNA from 1 species
UACGAAGGGUGCAAGCGUUACUCGGAAUUACUGGGCGUAAAGCGUGCGCAGGCGGUUCGUUAUGUCCGAUGUGAAAGCCCCGAGCUUAACUGGGGAGGGUCAUUCGAUACUGCUGAACUUGAAGGCAGGAGAGGGAAGUGGAAUUCCCGGUGUAGUGGUGAAAUGCGUAGAUAUCGGGAGGAACACCAGUGGCGAAGGCGACUUCCUGGCCUGUUCUUGACGCUGAGGCGCGAAAGCUGGGGGAGCAAACGGG